GUUCUUCUUAAUCAUUACAGGAUCCAGAUACAAGUUGCUCCCAAUUCGACAUGUCAACAGUGUCUCAGAAAUUAACAUACUGUUUUUAUAAACCAAAAGUUACCAACAUUGAUUAUGAAUCGGCAACAGAGUUAACUCUCAAUCAGCGAAAUCUCUCGCCCUUAUUUGUAGGAGAGACGACAAAGUUUUGGUUUUAUUUUGACUGUCAGCACUCACUUGAGGUCGUAAUGAUUGAAACUAAGUCUUCAUUUUCA